ACAUGGAUCUCUUGGUGGGGGAUGCAUGCCGGCCCAUUUUCAGGUUGCACGGGGGCUGCAUGCUGUCGGACCCCCGCAGCCUGUUUGCAGGAGACGAUGCAGGAGCAGGAAGAAAGGACAGAGGGUGCGGAUUCCACAGAUGUUUCAGAUUCCACAAAUAAUUGCCCAUUGAUUGAAUGCAGCAAUUAGGAUUCCCCUGCCUUUAGCGAGAAGGCUAUUAAAUAUAGAAGCUUGUCAUCUCCUCACAUAAUACUCGAGCUUCGUACCAUUGGAGUGUCUGGGAGCACUGCAUGCAAUGAAUUAUUUUGAAGUUAGGAAGGCAAAACUAGCAAUCAAUCUGUGCCACACACAAUCAGGAAUGAGCGAUCACCAUGGUUUUUAUUGGCAGGACAAAGAACUCUGGCCAGGAUAUCGGGAGAGGUUUUAAAUAUUCCCAGAGCAGAGUCUCUCUGUCACACAGCCAGGAAACAUACAUUUAGUUCUCCACUUGGAACCCCCACUGGUUUUAUAUUUUGUGCAGCAGUUUCAUAGUCUAUAAUGGUACCUGUAUUCUUUCUCCAACUGUCUACCGAUCUGACUGUGUAUCUGUCUGUCUCUCACGGUGUACCUCUCGAAAUAUCUCAAUACUCUUUCUCCUGUCCCUCUUCCUCACAGUUAGUCUCCCUCACCCGCUCUGCCUUCCUCUUCCUCC